rnacentral:rRNA from 1 species
CAGCCGCCACGGUAAUACAGAGGGUGCGAGCGUUAAUCGGAUUUACUGGGCGUAAAGCGUGCGUAGGCGGCUUCUUAAGUCGGAUGUGAAAUCCCUGAGCUUAACUUAGGAAUUGCAUUCGAUACUGGGAAGCUAGAGUAUGGGAGAGGAUGGUAGAAUUCCAGGUGUAGCGGUGAAAUGCGUAGAGAUCUGGAGGAAUACCGAUGGCGAAGGCAGCCAUCUGGCCUAAUACUUACGCUGAGGUACGAAAGCAUGGGGAGCAAACAGGAUUAGAUACCCGUGUAGUCCCUGUCUCUUAUAC